rnacentral:rRNA from 1 species
CUUCCGUAGGUGAACCUGCGGGGGAUCAUKACCGAGUUUACAACUCCCACCCAAUGUGAACCAUACCAAACUGUUGCCUCGGCGGUCACGCCCCGGGUGCGUCGCAGCCCCGGAACCAGGCGCCCGCCGGAGGGACCAACCAAACUCUUUUCUGUAGUCCCUCGCGGACGUUAUUUCUUACAGCUCUGAGCAAAAAUUCAAAAUGAAUCAAAACUUUCAACAACGGAUCUCUUGGUUCUGGCAUCGAUGAAGAACGCAGCGAAAUGCGAUAAGUAAUGUGAAUUGCAGAAUUCAGUGAAUCAUCGAAUCUUUGAACGCACAUUGCGCCCGCCAGUAUUCUGGCGGGCAUGCCUGUCCGAGCGUCAUUUCAACCCUCGAACCCCUCCGGGGGGUCGGCGUUGGGGACCUCGGGAGCCCCUAAGACGGGAUCCCGGCCCCGAAAUACAGUGGCGGUCUCGCCGCAGCCUCUCCUGCGCAGUAGUUUGCACAACUCGCACCGGGAGCGCGGCGCGUCCCGUCCGUAAAACACCCAACUUCUGAAAUGUUGACCUCGGAUCAGGUAGGAAURCCCGCUGAWUCUYAAGCAUAUCAAUAAGCGGAGGAA